rnacentral:rRNA from 1 species
GGCUCAGAUUGAACGCUGGCGGCAGGCCUAACACAUGCAAGUCGAGCGGUAGAGAGGUGCUUGCACCUCUUGAGAGCGGCGGACGGGUGAGUAAUACCUAGGAAUCUGCCUGAUAGUGGGGGAUAACGUUCGGAAACGGACGGUAAUACCGCAUACGUCCUACGGGAGAAAGCAGGGGACCUUCGGGCCUUGCGCUAUCAGAUGAGCCUAGGUCGGAUUAGCUAGUUGGUGAGGUAAUGGCUCACCAAGGCUACGAUCCGUAACUGGUCUGAGAGGAUGAUCAGUCACACUGGAACUGAGACACGGUCCAGACUCCUACGGGAGGCAGCAGUGGGGAUUAUUGGACAAUGGGCGAAAGCCUGAUCCAGCCAUNCCGCGUGUGUGAAGAAGGUCUUCGGAUUGUAAAGCACU